CAUAAGAGUUACAACCACAUUUUCAAUUUAUUUAUGCUCUGCAACCAUAGAACAGCAAAUAUCACAUGAGAAGAAGAUCAAAGGUCUCUGAAGAUCAUGAUACUUUGGAAGAGCACAGCUACAUUAAAAGUCCCUCCAGAGUGAGUUACCUUCACCAAUAUUCAUGAAUACUGUGGGACACUAGACAACCUGGGAGCAGAACAGAAUAUAAAAUCCGGUUUUGGAUCUCACAGAUGGCAGAUUCCACGUAUAAGUGAGAUCAUACUACAUCUUUUUCUCUUAGUGGGAGAUAUGGAAUUAGCCAGGAUGGUGCCUUUAACAAUGACAAUAAAGAGACAGUUCCUGGACAUUAACAGGAAGAAAUGAUGCCUGGACAGUGAAAAAACAAACAAAAAACAUCACUGUGCGCUGGUUGGACAAUAAACUGAAUACAGAAAUCUCCCAUACAGAAGUAUCUCUACCCAUUAUUCUGAACCUU